UUAAGUUAGAAAGGGCGCACGGUGGAUGCCUUGACACUAGGAGUCGAUGAAGGACGGGACUAACGCCGAUAUGCUUCGGGGAGCUGUAAGUAAGCUUUGAUCCGAAGAUUUCCGAAUGGGGAAACCCACCAUACGUAAUGGUAUGGUAUCCUUAUCUGAAUACAUAGGGUAAGGAAGACAGACCCAGGGAACUGAAACAUCUAAGUACCUGGAGGAAGAGAAAGCAAAUGCGAUUUCCUGAGUAGCGGCGAGCGAAACGGAACAUAGCCCAAACCAAGAGGCUUGCCUCUUGGGGUUGUAGGACAUUCUAUACGGAGUUACAAAGGAACGAGGUAGACGAAGCGACCUGGAAAGGUCCGUCGUAGAGGGUAACAACCCCGUAGUCGAAACUUCGUUCUCUCUUGAAUGUAUCCUGAGUACGGCGGAACACGUGAAAUUCCGUCGGAAUCUGGGAGGACCAUCUCCCAAGGCUAAAUACUCCCUAGUGAUCGAUAGUGAACCAGUACCGUGAGGGAAAGGUGAAAAGCACCCCGGAAGGGGAGUGAAAGAGAUCCUGAAACCGUGUGCCUACAAAUAGUCAGAGCCCGUUAACGGGUGAUGGCGUGCCUUUUGUAGAAUGAACCGGCGAGUUACGAUCCCGUGCGAGGUUAAGCUGAAGAGGCGGAGCCGCAGCGAAAGCGAGUCUGAAUAGGGCGUUUAGUACGUGGUCGUAGACCCGAAACCAGGUGAUCUACCCAUGUCCAGGGUGAAGUUCAGGUAACACUGAAUGGAGGCCCGAACCCACGCACGUUGAAAAGUGCGGGGAUGAGGUGUGGGUAGCGGAGAAAUUCCAAUCGAACCUGGAGAUAGCUGGUUCUCCCCGAAAUAGCUUUAGGGCUAGCCUUAAGUGUAAGAGUCUUGGAGGUAGAGCACUGAUUGGACUAGGGGUCCUCAUCGGAUUACCGAAUUCAGUCAAACUCCGAAUGCCAAUGACUUAUCCUUAGGAGUCAGACUGCGAGUGAUAAGAUCCGUAGUCAAAAGGGAAACAGCCCAGACCGCCAGCUAAGGUCCCAAAGUGUGUAUUAAGUGGAAAAGGAUGUGGAGUUGCUUAGACAACUAGGAUGUUGGCUUAGAAGCAGCCACCAUUUAAAGAGUGCGUAAUAGCUCACUAGUCGAGUGACUCUGCGCCGAAAAUGUACCGGGGCUAAAUACACCACCGAAGCUGCGGAUUGAUACCAAUGGUAUCAGUGGUAGGGGAGCGUUCUAAGGACAGUGAAGUCAGACCGGAAGGACUGGUGGAGUGCUUAGAAGUGAGAAUGCCGGUAUGAGUAGCGAAAGACGGGUGAGAAUCCCGUCCACCGAAUGCCUAAGGUUUCCUGAGGAAGGCUCGUCCGCUCAGGGUUAGUCAGGACCUAAGCCGAGGCCGACAGGCGUAGGCGAUGGACAACAGGUUGAUAUUCCUGUACCACCUCUUUAUCGUUUGAGCAAUGGAGGGACGCAGAAGGAUAGAAGAAGCGUGCGAUUGGUUGUGCACGUCCAAGCAGUUAGGCUGAUAAGUAGGCAAAUCCGCUUAUCGUAAAGGCUGAGCUGUGAUGGGGAAGCUCCUUAUGGAGCGAAGUCUUUGAUUCCCCGCUGCCAAGAAAAGCUUCUAGCGAGAUAAAAGGUGCCUGUACCGCAAACCGACACAGGUAGGCGAGGAGAGAAUCCUAAGGUGUGCGAGAGAACUCUGGUUAAGGAACUCGGCAAAAUGACCCCGUAACUUCGGGAGAAGGGGUGCUUUCUUAACGGAAAGCCGCAGUGAAUAGGCCCAAGCGACUGUUUAGCAAAAACACAGCUCUCUGCGAAGCCGUAAGGCGAAGUAUAGGGGGUGACACCUGCCCGGUGCUGGAAGGUUAAGGAGAGGGGUUAGCGUAAGCGAAGCUCUGAACUGAAGCCCCAGUAAACGGCGGCCGUAACUAUAACGGUCCUAAGGUAGCGAAAUUCCUUGUCGGGUAAGUUCCGACCCGCACGAAAGGUGU
rnacentral:rRNA from 1 species